GUGGGGAAUCUUCCACAAUGGACGAAAGUCUGAUGGAGCAACGCCGCGUGAGUGAAGAAGGGUUUCGGCUCGUAAAGCUCUGUUGUCGGGGACGAAUGUGCAGUAUUUGAAUAAAGUAGUGCAAUGACGGUACCUGACGAGGAAGCCACGGCUAACUACGUGCCAGCAGCCGCGGUAAUACGUAGGUGGCAAGCGUUGUCCGGAAUUAUUGGGCGUAAAGGGAGCGCAGGCGGGAAGGUAAGUCGGUCUUAAAAGUGCGGGGCUCAACCCCGUGAUGGGAUCGAAACUAUCUUUCUUGAGUGCAGGAGAGGAAAGUGGAAUUCCUAGUGUAGCGGUGAAAUGCGUAGAUAUUAGGAGGAACACCAGUGGCGAAGGCGACUUUCUGGACUGUAACUGACGCUGAGGCUCGAAAGCCAGGGGAGCGAACGGGAUUAGAUACCCCUGUAGUCC
rnacentral:rRNA from 1 species